GAUGAACGCUGGCGGCGUGCCUAACACAUGCAAGUCGAGCGAACGGACGAGAAGUUUGCUUCUCUGAUGUUAGCGGCGGACGGGUGAGUAACACGUGGAUAACCUACCUAUAAGACUGGGAUAACUUCGGGAAACCGGAGCUAAUACCGGAUAAUAUUUUGAACCGCAUGGUUCAAAGGUGAAAGACGGUCUUGCUGUCACUUAUAGAUGGGUCCGCGCUGCAUUAGCUAGUUGGUAAGGUAACGGCUUACCAAGGCAACGAUGCAUAGCCGACCUGAGAGGGUGAUCGGCCACACUGGAACUGAGACACGGUCCAGACUCCUACGGGAGGCAGCAGUAGGGAAACUUCCGCAAUGGGCGAAAGCCUGACGGAGCAACGCCGCGUGAGUGAUGAAGGUCUUCGGAUCGUAAAACUCUGUUAUUAGGGAAGAACAUAUGUGUAAGUAACUGUGCACAUCUUGACGGUACCUAAUCAGAAAGCCACGGCUAACUACGUG
rnacentral:rRNA from 1 species